CACCACCUCUAGUGUUUAUACAUGGCUACUCGCAGCAGGCGCCCGUCAACAGCCCAUCCACGCCCUCUGCUCCGCCAGCAGAGUCAAACUCCCACGGUCAACUUCAAUAUUCACAGCAGCCAUAUCCACCACAGCCAUAUCCACAACAGCCAUACCCACCACAGCCGUAUACCCAACAGCCGUACCCACCACAGCCGUACCCACAACAGCCGUACCCACAACAGCCGUACCCUCAACAGCCGUACCCACCACAGCCGUACCCACCACCAUACAUGCAGCAGCCAUAUCCCCGCCAACCACCGCCGCCACCAGGCGUGGGAGAACACCAGCGGGUAGUGGUCCACCCGCCACCCGUCAUCCAUGAGACCAUUGUUGUGGAGAACAGGCCUAGGCCUGGGGCAGGUCUCGGGGCAGGGCUCCUGCUGGGCAUGACCGCUGGAGGACACCAUGGCCGUCACCAUCACCAUCACGACCAUCACCAUCGCGGCCGUCACCAUCACAGACAUCACAGGUGGUGAGGCUAUAUCGCCAAUAGCCGCAGCGCCACCAUAUAUCUGAUGACGAUAUAACAUCAGACAAUGCGCGCUUGCUUUCACCGCACACACGAGCUGAUUCAUCAUAACACCUGCCACACAUACCAGCUAAUUCAUCAUAACACCUGCACCACACACCGGGUGGUUCAUCAUAACACCUGCCACACAUACCAGCUAAUUCAUCAUAACACCUGCACCACAUACCAGCUAAUUCAUCAUAACACCUGCCACACAUACCAGCUAAUUCAUCAUAACACCUGCACCACAUACCAGCUAAUUCAUCAUAACACCUGCACCACAUACCAGCUAAUUCAUCAUAACACCUGCACCACAUACCAGCUAAUUCAUCAUAACACCUGCACCACACACUGGGUGGUUCAUCAUAACACCUGCACCACAUACCAGCUAAUUCGUCAUAACACCUGCACCACAUACCAGCUAAUUCAUCAUAACACCUGCACCACACACCGGGUGGUUCAUCAUAACAUCUGGGCCACUUACACACCAGUUAAUUCAUCAUAACAUCUACACCACUUACACACCAACUGGUUGGUCAUGUUUACCAACACAGCCUACACCACACACCACACACUUGUGCCACAAAUUUCAAGUAACCAAUUACAUAUUAACAUAAAUAAACGACCAUAUAGGCCUACAACAAAUAAAUCAUGAGUGAUUUGUGACUCAAUCGUAUAGGGUCUAUAAAUGAUUUAAGACCAAUUCAAAUUUUGAGGGAUAUGCCUAUAACGGCUACAAACAAUAUAACAGCCUUUAUAAACAAGUUUCCAACAGAAUGGCAAGCAACCACGAAGGCCCAGACAAGGUCAAGUAGGCAACAUAAGGUCAUUAACCCUUAAGCUGCUACAGCCUUAAUCAUCAACAAGAUCCAUUCACGUCCUGACCGCAGAGGACCACAUUCCUCGGGCACUACCAUGAAGUCAAAUGAGCAUCCCUCUUGCAUACUGAGACCCGUGCAACUCUCCAUUGUAUUUGUAUUUGCAUACACGUCCGUGUCAUGUACUGUACGGCAGGAACGAAUAUUAAAGUCAAACCAAGUAC
rnacentral:misc_RNA from 1 species